CCGCGAUAGAUCAUAAUUCCUGGAAUGGUUUAUGGUCGAAAUGAUUCGUCGCCAUAGGAUGGGACUGCGGCCUAUCAGCUUGUUGGUGAGGUAAUGGCUCACCAAGGCUAUUACAGGUACGGGCUCUGAGAGGAGAAGCCCGGAGAUGGGUACUGAGACACGGACCCAGGCCCUAUGGGGCGCAGCAGGCGAGAAACCUUUGCAAUGUGCGCAAGCACGACAAGGUUAAUCCGAGUGUUUCCUGCUAAAGGAAUCUUUUGUUAGUUCUAAAACCACUGAUGAAUAAGAGGUGGGCAAGUUCUGGUGUCAGCCGCCGCGGUAAAACCAGCACCUCAAGUGGUCAGGAGGAUUAUUGGGCCUAAAGCAUCCGUAGCCGGUUCUGUAAGUUUUCGGUUAAAUCCACUAGCUCAACUAAUGGGCUGCCGAAAAUACUGCAGAACUAGGGAGUGGGAGAGGUGGACGGUACUCGGUAGGAAGGGGUAAAAUCCUUUGAUCUAUUGAUGACCACCUGUGGCGAAGGCGGUCUACCAGAACACGUUCGACGGUGAGGGAUGAAAGCUGGGGGAGCAAACCGGAUUAGAUACCCGGGUAGUCCCAGCUGUAAACGAUGCAGACUCGGUGAUGCACUGGCUUGUGGCCAGUGCAGUGCCGCUGGGAAGCCGUUAAGUUUGCCGCCUGGGAAGUACGUACGCAAGUAUGAAACUUAAAGGAAUUGGCGGGGGGAGCACCACAAGGGGGUGAAG
rnacentral:rRNA from 1 species